rnacentral:rRNA from 1 species
AGCGGACGCUGGCGGCAGGCUUAACACAUGCAAGUCGAGCGGGCCCUUCGGGGUCAGCGGCGGACGGGUGAGUAACGCGUGGGAACGUGCCUUCUGGUCUGGAAUAACCCUGGGAAACUAGGGCUAAUACCGGAUACGCCCUUUUGGGGAAAGGUUUACUGCCGGAAGAUCGGCCCGCGUCUGAUUAGCUAGUUGGUGGGGUAACGGCCUACCAAGGCGACGAUCAGUAGCUGGUCUGAGAGGAUGAUCAGCCACACUGGGAAUGAGACACGGCCCAGACUCCUACGAGAGGCGGCAGUGGGGAAUAUUGGGCAAUGAGCGCAAGCCUGAUCCAGCCAUGCCGCGUGAGUGAUGAAGGCCUUAGGGUUGUAAAGCUCUUUUAUCCGGGACGAUAAUGACGGUACCGGAGGAAUAAGCCCCGGCUAACUUCGUG